UCCUUCCUGGUGUAGUGGUUAACACCUUCACCCCCUACUAGUGAAGAAUUGGGAGGUCUGGUGUUCAAAUCCCUUUGGUGGAU